GUCCUUCGGGGGACAUCUAAUAAAAUUUGAACAAUACAAAGUAGUUUAGCAUGACUCUUGUGCAAAGAUGAUGUUAAAUUAUCAGUUAUUUCAAAAACUUAA